CGUGUAGGCGGCUUGGUAAGUCAGAUGUGAAAGCCCAGGGCUCAACCCUGGAAGUGCAUUUGAUACUGCCAUGCUUGAGUAUGGGAGAGGAGAGCGGAAUUCCCAGUGUAGAGGUGAAAUUCGUAGAUAUUGGGAGGAACACCCGUGGCGAAGGCGGCUCUCUGGACCAAUACUGACGCUGAGACGCGAAAGCGUGGGGAGCAAACAGGAUUAGAUACCCUGGUAGUCC
rnacentral:rRNA from 1 species